rnacentral:rRNA from 1 species
AAUACGCCGCUGGCGACCGGCGCACGGGUGAGUAACACGUAUCCAACCUGCCCUUUACUCGGGGAUAGCCUUUCGAAAGAAAGAUUAAUACCCGAUGGUAUAACAUGACCUCCUGGUUUUGUUAUUAAAGAAUUUCGGUAGAGGAUGGGGAUGCGUUCCAUUAGGCAGUUGGCGGGGUAACGGCCCACCAAACCUUCGAUGGAUAGGGGUUCUGAGAGGAAGGUCCCCCACAUUGGAACUGAGACACGGUCCAAACUCCUACGGGAGGCAGCAGUGAGGAAUAUUGGUCAAUGGGCGAGAGCCUGAACCAGCCAAGUAGCGUGAAGGAUGACCGCCCUAUGGGUUGUAAACUUCUUUUAUAUGGGAAUAAAGUCUGCCACGUGUGGCAUUUUGUAUGUACCAUAUGAAUAAGGAUCGGCUAACUCCGUGCCAGCAGCCGCGGUAAUACGGAGGAUCCGAGCGUUAUCCGGAUUUAUUGGGUUUAAAGGGAGCGUAGGUGGACAUGUAAGUCAGUUGUGAAAGUUUGCGGCUCAACCGUAAAAUUGCAGUUGAUACUGCGUGUCUUGAGUACAGUAGAGGUGGGCGGAAUUCGUGGUGUAGCGGUGAAAUGCUUAGAUAUCACGAAGAA